UACGUAGGGUGCGAGCGUUGUCCGGAUUUACUGGGCGUAAAGGGCUCGUAGGUGGUGUGUCGCGUCGUCUGUGUAAUCCAGGGGCUUAACUUUUGGUUGGCAGGCGAUACGGGCAUUGCUUGAGUGCUGUAGGGGAGACUGGAAUUCCUGGUGUAGCGGUGAAAUGCGCAGAUAUCAGGAGGAACACCGAUGGCGAAGGCAGGUCUCUGGGCAGUUACUGACGCUGAGGAGCGAGAGCAUGGGUAGCGAA
rnacentral:rRNA from 1 species